rnacentral:misc_RNA from 1 species
GGGUGGAGUUUGCCUAGAUUUGAAAAUCAUUCCAUCUCCUGACAAAGAAACCCCACUCUAUUAAACUUGUUCUACUCUUUAUACUCGUGUCAGAUGGGAUCUCUGAAUACAAUUUUCUGAUCAUCUAGCUGAGGAUGUCCCAAGCUGAUGUCUCUUACAGGAUGAAUUGGAGGCCUCUCUAAAUGGAAGUUCAAUUAUUCUCACCAACUGGUUUGGCUAAUUUAUGGUUGACUUUUUGGUGGGUGAUUUCUUGAUGCGGUUUCUUGGGGCUUUUAACAGAAUGGAAAUUGCGCUUUCAACUCCCUUUUUAUAUGCUACUGCAAUGGGCUCUUUUGAAGAAUGAAGAGCUAGGAUCUUUAGGAUUUACAUUUUGAAAAUAAGGACUUUUAUCUGCAACAGCCUGAUGAGGGCUUUUGACAUAAGAUUCUCUUUUCAAGUUAUUCUGUAGGAACCUAUCUACUGUUGACCUUAUGUACAAAUGCAGCCGCGUGAACGAUUGAACUAUAAAGGUUUUUGUCGCUUUAUGAUGAAUUGAACAGUCGAGGUUCUGUGAUCCUAACUAUGGUUAUCCUCAAUCAAUUCUUGAUGUUUCUGUUGUUUUGGAAACUGUAGAAAAUGAAUACUGUUUAAAUCUUCAUGCGGUAGUAAAUUAUGCUUCUCAAGGGAAGAACCUGCAAGUGGCUGUUUGUAAAUCCACAAGUGUGUAUAUCAUCAGAAUACAUUACAGUUAGCUAAGUUUGUUUAACAUGCAAUGUAAAUGAGUAUAAUGUCGCUUGAUGAGGGAAAUUAAAUUGCUAUUUGAUCCUUUAUGUGUCCUUUAUUGUUUCAUAUUUUAAAACUGCAACCCUUUUGAGUUUUGAGCAAUGCUUUGGGAAAUUUCAUUUCACUUUAAUUACUGAUUAAGUAAUGAAAUAGUGAUUCAAUCAGUUUAUACUUGGCUGUCAUCAUUAUUUCUUUUUUCUUUUUUUUUU